rnacentral:rRNA from 1 species
UACGAAGGGGGCUAGCGUUGCUCGGAAUCACUGGGCGUAAAGGGUGCGUAGGCGGGUCUUUAAGUCAGGGGUGAAAUCCUGGAGCUCAACUCCAGAACUGCCUUUGAUACUGAGGAUCUUGAGUCCGGGAGAGGUGAGUGGAACUGCGAGUGUAGAGGUGAAAAUUCGUAGAUAUUCGCAAGAACACCAGUGGCGAAGGCGGACUCACUGGCCCGGUAUGGACGCUGAGGCACGGAAAAGCGUGG